rnacentral:lncRNA from 1 species
ACGCCAUUUCCUGUGCACAGCUCACAAUCCCCUCGUUCACGCGCAGGGCUCACAGUUGCUCUUCAUAAUGGUAAGAUACUCAUUCAAUACUUGUCGCCGUCAAUCUCUAUUUGUUACUCAUCAUUAUCCUCGCGUGUAUUUUUGGGUUGAUUGGAUUGGAUGAUAAAAGUCGAGCUCAACCACAACUUUCUGCUCUUUCACAACAUUGUCUUCGCCAUCAAUCUUUAUUUAUGCGCAAUGUGGUUGAUUGUUUAUAUUUUCUGAGAUGUUUUUGAAUUGCCUAUAGCAAUACUGUUGUGGUGAUGUAAUUUUUUUAAUAAAAGCACAAUUGAAAGACUAAAACUACAACUAGAAAAGAAAGAGAUUUAGCUUUCCGUCGUAUGUUAGUCAUAUGCUUUUCUUCAGCAUUGAUAUUUAUCCAUCAACGGAAAUUGAUAAUUGAUUCUGCUGGUAGAAAGAGUUAAAUAAAGUUGAUGAAUUUGAGCACAUCGAUGUUUCUAGUUCGGAGCUUUCUAGAAUUACCUCGCUUUCUGAUUAGCCUUCUCCAUUUGUUUCUGCAUCAGAACAGAGCCUCUGAUUAUGCUGAAUCCAACCAAAUACCAGACAACUUUCAAUAAAUUACAUUUAUACGAAAAGAUUCGAGCUUUAGCCCCGUCUUAUUCAAUUUGUGGAUGGAGUAAUUUUACCUCAAUUUCAAAUCAGUAUCAUGAUUCAGAAACUCCACAAGGUUUGGAGCAGAAUGUUGCAGAUAGAAAUGUUGCAN